GGUCAAGUUAUUAAGGGUGCAGGGCGGAUGCCUUGGCACUAGGAGCCGAUGAAGGACGUGAUAAGCUGCGAUAAGCUUCGGGGAGUUGCACGUAAACUUUGAUCCGAAGAUUUCCGAAUGAGGAAACUCACUUAGAGUAAUGUCUAAGUAUCAUUAAGUGAAUACAUAGCUUAAUGAGGGGAACUCAGGGAACUGAAACAUCUAAGUACCUGAAGGAAGAGAAAGAAAUUCGAUUCCGUAAGUAGCGGCGAGCGAACGCGGAUUAGCCCAAACCAAUAAAGUUUUCUUUAUUGGGGUUGCGGACAUAUCAUAACGAAGAGGUAUCGUAAUUGAAGAGGUUUGGAAAGACCCACCACAGAAGGUAAUAGUCCUGUAUGUUAAACGAGAAGACUUCAGAUAUGAUCCAGAGUACCACGGGACACGUGAAACCCUGUGGGAAGCAGGAGGGACCACCCUCCAAGGCUAAAUACUACCUAGUGACCGAUAGCGUAUAGUACCGUGAGGGAAAGGUGAAAAGAACCCCGGGAGGGGAGUGAAAUAGAACCUGAAACCCUGCACUUACAAGCUGUGGAAGCACAUUUCUUGUGUGACCGCGUACUUUUUGUAGAACGGGCCAACGAGUUACGUUAAGUAGCAAGGUUAAGCACUUAAGGUGCGGAGCCGUAGCGAAAGCGAGUUUUAACUGAGCGUUCAGUUACUUGACGUAGACCCGAAACCGGGCGACCUACCCAUGAGCAGGAUGAAGCGAAAGUAAAAUUUCGUGGAGGUCCGAACCCACGAGCGUUGAAAAGCUCGGGGAUGACUUGUGGGUAGCGGUGAAAUUCCAAUCGAGCCCGGAGAUAGCUGGUUCUCCCCGAAAUAGCUUUAGGGCUAGCCUCAAGGUGAGAGAUACGGAGGUAGAGCACUGAAUGUCCUAGGGGGUAUUGCACCUACCGAAGACUAUCAAACUCCGAAUGCCGUCAUCUUAUACUUGGGAGUCAGACUGUGGGUGAUAAGAUUCAUAGUCGAAAGGGCAACAGCCCAGAUCGUCAGCUAAGGUCCCUAAAUGUAAGUUAAGUGGUAAAGGAUGUGGGAUUGCACAGACAACCAGGAUGUUGGCUUAGAAGCAGCCACUCAUUCAAAGAGUGCGUAAUAGCUCACUGGUCGAGUGAUCCUGCGCCGAAGAUUUCCGGGGCUAAAACUUACUACCGAAGCUACGGCAUCAGUAAUGAUGGGUAGGGGAGCUUCCCAUACGGGUUGAAGCAUGACCGUAAGGACAUGUGGACAGUAUGGGAGUGAGAAUGUUGGCAUGAGUAGCGAGAUGUGGGUGAGAAUCCCACAGGCCGUAAACCCAAGGUUUCCAGGGGAAGGUUCGUCCGCCCUGGGUUAGUCGGGACCUAAGCUGAGGCCGAAAGGCGUAGGUGAUGGACAACAGGUUGAUAUUCCUGUACUACCGAUAACCGUUUGAGAGAAGGGAUGACACAGUAGGAUAAGCUAAGCACACUGUUGGUUAUGUGUGCCCAAGCAUUGAGGCAGUCAAAGUAGGCAAAUCCGCUUUGAUAAUGCUGGGAUGUGAUGGGGAGCGAAAUUUAGUAGCGAAGUAGCUGAUUUCACACUGUCAAGAAAAGUCUCUAUCGAGGUUAAAGGUACCCGUACCGCAAACCGACACAGGUGGGUGAGGAGAGUAUCCUAAGGCCAGCGAGAGAACUGUUGUUAAGGAACUCGGCAAAAUGACCCCGUAACUUAGGGAUAAGGGGUGCCACCAUCAGGUGGCCGCAGAGAAUAGGCCCAAGCGACUGUUUACCAAAAACAUAGGUUUCUGCUAAGUCGCAAGACGAUGUAUAGGAGCUGACGCCUGCCCGGUGCUGGAAGGUUAAGGGGAUCUGUUAGAGCAAUCGAAGCAGUGAACUUAAGCCCCAGUAAACGGCGGCCGUAACUAUAACGGUCCUAAGGUAGCGAAAUUCCUUGUCGGGUAAGUUCCGACCCGCACGAAAGGCGUAACGAUUUGGGCACUGUCUCAACAACAGACUCGGUGAAAUUGUAAUUCCGGUGAAGAUGCCGGAUACCUGCGACAGGACGGAAAGACCCCAUGGAGCUUUACUGUAGCUUGACAUUGGGUCUUGGUACUACAUGUACAGGAUAGGUGGGAGGCUUUGAAACCAGGACGCCAGUUUUGGCGGAGCCAUCCUUGGGAUACCACCCUUGUAGUACUGGGACUCUAACCAUAGGCCAUGAAUCUGGUCUUGGGACACUGUCAGGUGGGCAGUUUGACUGGGGCGGUCGCCUCCCAAAAGGUAACGGAGGCGCUCAAAGGUUCUCUCAGUACGGUCGGAAAUCGUACGUAGAGUGUAAAGGCAAAAGAGAGCUUGAUUGCAAGACAUACAGGUCGAGCAAGGAUGAAAAUCGGACUUAGUGAUCCGGUGGUUCUGCGUGGAAGGGCCAUCGCUCAACGGAUAAAAGCUACCCUGGGGAUAACAGGCUUAUCUCCCCCAAGAGUCCACAUCGACGGGGAGGUUUGGCACCUCGAUGUCGGCUCAUCACAUCCUGGGGCUGUAGUAGGUCCCAAGGGUUGGGCUGUUCGCCCAUUAAAGUGGUACGCGAGCUGGGUUCAGAACGUCGUGAGACAGUUCGGUCCCUAUCCGUCGCAGGCGUAGGAAAUUUGAGAAGACCUGUCCUUAGUACGAGAGGACCGGGAUGGACGUACCUCUGGUGUACCAGUUGUUCUGCCAAGGGCAUGGCUGGGUAGCUAUGUACGGAAUGGAUAAGCGCUGAAAGCAUCUAAGCGCGAAGCCAACUUCAAGAUAAGAUUUCCCACCGCAAGGGUAAGACCCCAGAAAGACUAUCUGGUUGAUAGGUCGAAGGUGUAAGUGCAGCAAUGUAUUUAGCUUAUCGAUACUAAUAGGUCGAGGACUUGACCAA
rnacentral:rRNA from 2 species